CGCAGAUCGCCCCGAAGCAAUCCCCUCCCCAUCGGCGCCCCCACUCCUGUCGCAUCGAUGACAAGCCCCUCAUGAUGACGCCGCCUCCCCACCGGUGCCAUGCCGGCGCCCAUCUCCACUUCCCAUCGCCGCCCAACACCAGCAAACAAUGAUGAGGUCGAGCCAGCGCCCGCAUCGCCGCACUUCGGUGGCCAACAGCCGCCUCUGCUACCCCGCCCCAGGCAUCGCCGAUCCAGGUGACCAGGCCGACCCCGAAAGCGCCAUCUCGCGCCUCAUCUCUGCCUCCACCAGCGGGAGCGGGCCCGACGGUAACAGUGGCAGCGCGGCCGCGUUCAACGCUGGGAACUCGCCCUCCGCCCCUGCCAGAGAACGGAGUAAUCCCCAACAGACUGGUGAACCGGGUUUCUGCACAACUGUAUUGCUGACUGAUUGUCAAUUUUCGGUGACACUGGAUCCACCUCCUUCAUCAAAUCAGACACAGUCCCUGACAUGCGGCCGCUGCACCAGCAAUGUACUCUGCCUCGCAUGAGGAAGUAGCCACAACCUUCUGUUUCUGAGACAACCAGAAACUCGUAUACCUGAACAGCAUCAAAAGGAACGAAGGCACUGUCACGCAGUAUGAGAACAUGCUUGCAUAGAGGAAGACUUGCCGCCCUAGCGAUACUGGUCUCUGGUGGAAUUGUGUUGGUGAUUUUGGCCUGCGCUCUUUAUAACAACUACUGGUGGCCAAUGUUAACAAGUUAGAGACAUUUUGUGCAGUUCUGAUGCCACUCAUAUUUUUCCUGGGCGCCGAUUCUCCAUCGAUCAUGUCAAAUGAGGGUGGUGGUUUCCCCUGACACAAUUUCGCCACUGCAAGUGAGUGAACUUCACCAAGUUCCUGAUGGGCGCAUCGAUCGUGGGUAGCAUCGCGUCUAUGCCACCAAUCCUGAAGCACGCCGCAGUCAUCGGGUAGGGCUUGCUGAUGAAGGAGCUGUCCUCCGUCGUAUGUGGUUCCUUCAGAAGAACUCCGAGGACGAGGAGUGCAUCUCCUUCUGAUCUCCGGCGCUUCAUCCUCUCCUGAACUUGUGAUCUGCGCGCGAUGCGGUUCCUCGCUAGAGAUAGGGAUCGUCAAAUUGUGAAAGUCUACCGUACAAUUUGGAGCACUGGUGUUUGUCCUUGUUUAGGAGUACCAGUGAAGUGAGUCAUUUUGAGUUGCAUGUAGAGUUAUCCUCCUCCUGCUGGUACAUGAUGUUUUUGGUUAGGCUGUUGACCUCACUUGCAUCACUUAUUAGCUGUAUAGCUUUGGCCAUUUUAUUUC